CCCCAGGAGGGAGCUCUGUCCUGGAGUGGUACCCCUAACGUCCCAACUGCGAGACUCCAGAGCUUGCUGCAGCGGCCGGUCACCUUCAUUCCACUCCGUCUGCCUGGACUGUUGCAGCACCCUCCCUUGGUCUCCCAGUCUGAAGUCUCUCCUCUUGCCAAUCCACCCUUCAUCUUCCUGCCAGGUUUAUUUCUCACAGCUGCCCUUCACACACCUGAGACUACUGCUGUGCACCUCGCCACCCGAAGGAAGUGGCACUAGGAGCGUUUACAUGCUAUUUCCUGUCUCCACUUCAAAAAGCUCAGAAUAAUCUUCUCACCGGGCGCAGUGGCUCACGCCUGUAAUCCCAGUACUUUGGGGGACCGAGGCAGGUGGAUCACUUGAGGCCAGGAGUUCGAGACGAGCCUGGGCAACAUGGUGAAACCCUGUCUCUACCAAAAAAAAAAAAAAAAUAUAUAUAUAUAUAUAUAUAUAUACACACAAAAAAAAAAAAUUAGCUGGGCUUGGUGGCGCUCACUUGUAGUCCCAGCUACUCAGGAGGCUAAGGCUGGAGGAUUGCUUAAACACAGGAGAUGGAGGCUGCAGUGAGCCGCGAUCAUGCCACUGCACUGGAUCCUGGGCGACUGGGCGAGAUCCUGUCUCAAAUCAUCAUCAUUAUCAUCAUCAUCAUCAUCAUCAUCUUCUCCAUGUAACUAUGUCUGUCGCUCCACCUGGCAGAAAUGUCGUCUCUGGGCCGGGCGCAGUGGCUCAUGCCUGUAAUUCCAGCACUUUGGGAGGCCGAGGAGGGCAGAUCACGAGGUCAAGAGAUCGAGACCAUCCUGGCCAACAUGGUGAAACCUGGUCUGUACUAAAAAUAC
rnacentral:lncRNA from 1 species